UCUCUUUCUCCUUCUUUAUCGUUAACCCUUUCCCCUCUCUCUCUCUUUCAAAACCCUAAAUCGCCGCUACCGCUAUCGCCGUAUCUCCACCACCGUGUAGAUCCGGUUCACCGUUCAUCUUCCCAGGUUCACCAAAUCGGAUUCGUAAAGUCACCUUCUCCAACUGACACCUCCGAUACCAUCUCUCGGCUUCGAUCUACAACGACCCACUUAGGAAUUUCUGGUUGCAGGUGCUUAAAAGACCAACACAAGCCCACCACCGUCCCAGUACAUGAAAUAGAGGCUACUGGAAUUCUGACUUGAAGCAUGUUUUGUCAACUUUUGUCAACCAUAAUGCUCUCCAAUUGAAUGAUUGCUUGGAGCUAAGACACUGCUCAAACUAUUGAACAACUACUCAAGAACCUAAGAGGUAACAAAAGAUCAUUUUUAUGGCUAAUGGUAGAAGAUAACCUACUGUCGAUUUAAGUGCAUUCAUACAUGAAGGUUGCUUACAUUUCUCUCUAUUUUGUGUUAUUGUCUUUGGUAUUUAAUUCAUUAUUAAUUAUAUAGUAAAUAUCAUUUUCUAUAACCGAUGAGAAUUUGAGGACAAGGAAGAUGGCAUAAAUCUCAUUUUCUGCAAUAGCCUUCCUUGUGAUUGCAGGAUUCCCGGUAAGAAAGUACACAUGGUCCAUUAAAGGGAAUUGGUAAGGCAUUAGCUAACUUGUCAAGCAGUCAUGCAAUGGAUUCAAAUUUUGCAUUGCUUUAAUAUUGCAUGGCCUUUUCCUUUUUAAGAGAAAGGACUUGAAAGAUUAGCAUACAUAGCUUAAGGGUACAAUUAUUGGAAGUGGAAGGAUCAUAACAUUCACUAUGAUGUGCAAGGAGAUGGACCUCCUUUUGUUCUUAUUCAUGGUUUUGGUGCAUCUACUUUCCAUUGGAACUCUGUAUAUGAUAUAUUUACUACAUUUCUCACUUAUGU